UCACAUGCUAAAAAUGAACUGGCAUCAUGCCAAAGGCCCAGGCUCUUUUAAAAAAAAAAAAAAAGUGAUUCUGGGCUACACUGAGCAGAGCUCCUCAUCUCCCAGCCCCUUACAGAAGUGGUCUGGAUGCAACCCUAGUAGAAAGCAGGACUGGUGUCUAAGCCCCUUUCCAGCUCUGGAUCCCAUGACACUACAACCCAUCGAUCUUACCCUCCCUCCCAGGGACACACCAAGCAGAUGGAGGGGACUGGAGGAUGACGGAAUGGGGAGCAGCACACAAGCCUGACCUGGGGAGACCAAAAAAACUAAGGGAGAGGGGAAGGGCCCAGUGCAGAACUCAGGAGCUAAAGCCUGGAAGAUAAUGGAGGAGGACCAGACUGUCUGCAGGCAGCAUGGAGAAAAGGAAGCAGAAGUAUAAAAGUGAAAAGUGAAAUCAAAGUGGCAUGUGGGGCAAGGAAAAUGAAGAGAAAGACAAAAUAGCUUUCAUGUUUUCAUGCAACAAAACUUUUUACGGCA